GGUUAUGCUAAUAAGAGCGUAUGGUGGAUGCCUUGGCACUAAGAGCCGAUGAAAGACGUGAUAAGCUGCGAAAAGCUUCGGGGAGGAGCAAAUAUCCAUUGAUCCGGAGAUAUCUGAAUGGGGAAACCUACUUGAGAAAACCUCAAGUAUCCACAGCCCAAUCCAUAAGCUGUGGAAGGGAACCCGGUGAACUGAAACAUCUAAGUAGCCGGAGGAAGAGAAAACAACAUGUGAUUCCGUAAGUAGCGGCGAGCGAACGCGGAAGAGCCCAAACCGGAGUGCGUGCACUCCGGGGUUCGGACUGCAGGAUUGACGAGUGAGCCUAGUAGAAUGGUUUUGGGAAAGCCAGCCAGAGAGGGUGAAAGCCCCGUACACGAAAGGCAAGCGAGCAUGGCAGGAUCCAGAGUACCACGAGACACGUGAAACCUUGUGGGAAUGAGCGGGGACCACCCCGUAAGGCUAAAUACUCCUUAGUGACCGAUAGCGCAUAGUACUGUGAAGGAAAGGUGAAAAGGACCCCGGGAGGGGAGUGAAAGAGAACCUGAAACCAUAUGUUUACAAGCUGUGGAACAUCUUUAUAUGAUGAACCGCGUACUUUUUGUAGAACGGUCCGGCGAGUUACGCUGGCUGGCGAGGUUAAGGGCUGAAGGCCUGGAGCCGAAGGGAAACCGAGUCUGAACAGGGCGAAAUAGUCAGUCGGAGUAGACCCGAAACCGGGUGAUCUAUCCAUGUCCAGGUUGAAGUUGCCGUAAAAGGCAAUGGAGGACCGAACCCACAUCCGUUGAAAAGGGUGGGGAUGAGGUGUGGAUAGGGGAGAAAUUCCAAUCGAACCCGGAGAUAGCUGGUUCUCCUCGAAAUAGCUUUAGGGCUAGCCUCAUGCAAGUCUUACGGAGGUAGAGCACUGAAUUCCUAAGGGGGCGUCAAAGCUUACCAAGGGAUAUCAAACUCCGAAUGCCGUGUAGAUGGUGCAUGGGAGUCAGACUAUCCGAGAUAAGUUGGGUAGUCAAAAGGGAAAGAGCCCAGACCUACAGCUAAGGUCCCAAAAUGUGUGUUAAGUGGAAAAGGAUGUGGGAUUUCGAAGACAACUAGGAUGUUGGCUUAGAAGCAGCCAUCCAUUAAAAGAGUGCGUAAUAGCUCACUAGUCGAGAGGUCCUGCGCCGAAAAUGUCCGGGGCUGAAACACACUACCGAAGCUUAGGAAUUGACGAAUGUUAAUUGGUAGAGGAGCAUUCUUAACGGGGCGAAGCUGUACCGGAAGGAGCAGUGGACUGUUAAGAAGAGAGAAUGCCGGAAUGAGUAGCGAGAGGAAGGUGAGAAUCCUUCCGGCCGAAUAUCUAAGGUUUCCAGAGUAAAGCUGAUCUGCUCUGGGUAAGUCGGGGCCUAAGGCGAGGUCGAAAGACGUAGUCGAUGGAUAACAGGUAAAGAUUCCUGUACUAUAUCAUAACAGAACUGUGGGGACGCAGACAGAGAGCAUAAGCCGGGAAUGGAAAGACCGGUACAAGCGAGGUAGGAGUGCAUCAGGCAAAUCCGGUGCACAAUCUGAAGACGUGAUGUGGGGCGUAAAGCCGGAAGUAUGUGAGCUGGCUGCCAAGAAAAGCCGCUAUUGUUUAUGAUAUACCCGUACCGUAAACCGACACAGGUGGAUGAGGAGAGAAUCCUAAGGCCGACGGGAGAAGCAUUGUUAAGGAACUCGGCAAAAUGACUCCGUAACUUCGGGAGAAGGAGUGCCAUGUAAAAGUGGCCGCAGAGAAUUGGCCCAAGCAACUGUUUAGCAAAAACACAGGUCUAUGCAAAACCGAAAGGUGAGGUAUAUGGGCUGACGCCUGCCCGGUGCUGGAAGGUUAAGGGGAGAGGUUAGUCGUAAGGCGAAGCUUUGAACUUAAGCCCCAGUAAACGGCGGCCGUAACUAUAACGGUCCUAAGGUAGCGAAAUUCCUUGUCGGGUAAGUUCCGACCCGCACGAAAGGCGUAAUGAUUUGGGCACUGUCUCAACAAUGCACCCGGUGAAAUUGAAAUACCAGUGAAGAUGCUGGUUACCUGCGCCAGGACGGAAAGACCCCAUGGAGCUUUACUCCAGCUUGAUACUGGGAUUCGAUAUUGCAUGUACAGGAUAGGUGGGAGACUGAGAACUGAUGACGCCAGUUGUCAGGGAGUCACUGUUGGGAUACCACCCUUGUAGUAUUGGAUUUCUAACCAGCAGCCGUGAACCGGCUGGGGGACAAUGUCAGGUGGGGAGUUUGACUGGGGCGGUCGCCUCCGAAAGGGUAUCGGAGGCGCUCAAAGGUUCCCUCAGAAUGGUUGGAAACCAUUCGAAGAGUGCAAAGGCAGAAGGGAGCUUGACUGCGACACCGACGGGUGGAGCAGGUACGAAAGUAGGACUUAGUGAUCCGGUGGUAUAAAGUGGGAUUGCCAUCGCUCAACGGAUAAAAGCUACCCUGGGGAUAACAGGCUUAUCACUCCCAAGAGUUCACAUCGACGGAGUGGUUUGGCACCUCGAUGUCGGCUCAUCGCAUCCUGGGGCUGAAGUAGGUCCCAAGGGUUGGGCUGUUCGCCCAUUAAAGCGGUACGCGAGCUGGGUUCAGAACGUCGUGAGACAGUUCGGUCCCUAUCCGGCGUGGGCGUAGGAUAUUUGAGAGGAGCUGCCCUUAGUACGAGAGGACCGGGGUGGACUGGCCGCUGGUGGAUCUGUUGUAUUACCAAAUGCAUAGCAGAGUAGCCAAGCCGGGACGGGAUAAACGCUGAAGGCAUCUAAGCGUGAAGCCCCCCUCAAGAUGAGAUAUCCCAUAACGUCAAGUUAGUAAGACCCCUUGAAGACGACGAGGUAGAUAGGGCAGAGGUGGAAGUGCGGUAACGCAUGGAGCUGACUGUUACUAAUAGGUCGAGGGCAUAACCAA
rnacentral:rRNA from 1 species